rnacentral:rRNA from 1 species
AGUGAACGCUGGCGGUAGGCCUAACACAUGCAAGUCGAACGGCAGCACAGUAAGAGCUUGCUCUUACGGGUGGCGAGUGGCGGACGGGUGAGGAAUACAUCGGAAUCUACUUUUUCGUGGGGGAUAACGUAGGGAAACUUACGCUAAUACCGCAUACGACCUACGGGCGAAAGCAGGGGAUCUUCGGACCUUGCGCGAUUGAAUGAGCCGAUGUCGGAUUAGCUAGUUGGCGGGGUAAAGGCCCACCAAGGCGACGAUCCGUAGCUGGUCUGAGAGGAUGAUCAGCCACACUGGAACUGAGACACGGUCCAGACUCCUACGGGAGGCAGCAGUGGGGAAUAUUGGACAAUGGGCGCAAGCCUGAUCCAGCCAUACCGCGUGGGUGAAGAAGGCCUUCGGGUUGUAAAGCCCUUUUGUUGGGAAAGAAAAGCAGCAGGUUAAUACCCCGCUAUUCUGACGGUACCCAAAGAAUAAGCACCGGCUAACUUCGUG